rnacentral:rRNA from 1 species
AAGGGCACCACAAGAACGCGUGGAGCAUGUGGCUUAAUUUGACUCAACGCGGGAAAUCUUACCGGGUCCGGACACACUGAGGAUUGACAGGCAAUAUUAUAAUUUUUUAAUUGAAAUAAAUUUUUAUUAAUUUAUUUUUUUUAUUUUUUAUAUGUUAAAUAUGCUAGUCCUUUCAUGAUUAUGUGAUAGGUGGUGCAUGGCCGUUCUUAGUUCGUGGAGUGAUCUGUCUGCUUAAUUGCGUUUCACUAUUGGGCUUAUAUAAUUACGUAUGUUGUUAUACGCUUUGACCCCUUUCUACGGAUUGUGCGUGUCUUUGUCUCGUUUAACUCAUACAAUUAAGCCCUGAAAGCAACGAACGUGACCGCAACCUCUUGUUGCUCUCAUAUUACCUUAUACUGCAUAAUAAAUUUGAAUAAUUUAUUUUAUUUUUAUUUUUUUAUGUUUAAGAGAGCUUUCUAAACUAGAGGGACCGCUGUUACUUUCUUAAACCAGAGGAAGGUUGCGGCAAUAACAGGUCUGUGAUGCCCUUAGAUGUUCCGGGCUGCACACGUGCUACAAUGAUUAUUGCAGUGAGCAUCUCAUUUUUUACACAUCGCAUGCGCGAGUCCAUUUAUUCAGAUAUCUUCGGGUGUUUGCUUUAAAUGUGUAUCUCUGCGCGCGAUAAAGCCUGCUUCGAAAGUAAGUGGGUAAUCAAUUAGAAGUAAUGAUUUCCUUUUUUUUUCUGCACACAUAUAUAUGGCACUUAUACCCGGGUAACCUUGUUGUUACUUUUGUGCGUAUACGUGAUAAUCUUUACCGAUUAUACUACCAUAUGUGCAAUUGUCAAUUCAUGGUGGGGACAGACCAUUGUUAAUUGUUGGUCUCGGUCUUAACUAGGAAUGCCUUGUACGGAUCUUUGGUUCAACAAACCAUCCGGAAUACGUCCCUGCCCUUUGUACACACCGCCCGUCGCUCUUACCGAUGGACUUCUCUGUGAGUUUGAGGGACUGGUAAAUUAAUGUAUUUAUACAUUGUCACUAUAGAAACUUAAACGAACAGUGGGGUCUAAAGGAAAGAGAAGUCGUAACAAGGCAUCAGUAGGUGAACCUGCAGAAGGAUCA